rnacentral:rRNA from 1 species
GAUGAACGCUAGCGGCAGGCUUAAUACAUGCAAGUCGAGGGGCAUCAAGGUACACGAAAGUGUAUUGUUGGCGACCGGCGGACGGGUGAGUAAUAGGUAGGUAACCUACCUCAUACUGAGGCAUAGCUGGGAGAAAUUCCAGGUAAUUCCUCAUGAGGUUAUAUGACACAUGUGAUAUAAUCAAAGGUAUCGCAAGGUACUGGUAUGAGAUGGGCUUACUGACCAUUAGCUAGUUGGUGAGAUAAGAGCUCACCAAGGCGAAGAUGGUUAGGGGUUUUGAGAGAGAGAUCCCCCACAUUGGGACUGAGACACGGCCCAGACUCCUACGGGAGGCAGCAGUGGGGAAUAUUAGUCAAUGGGGGAACCCUGAACUAGCAACGCCGCGUGAAGGAAGAAGGUCUUCGGAUUGUAAACUUUUGUCUUCAGGGACGAAACAAAUGACGGUACCUGAGGAGGAAGCCACGGCUAACUACGUGCCAGCAGCCGCGGUAAAGAGUAGUACAC